CCCUUAGAUGUUCUGGGCCGCAUGCGCGCUACACUGAUGAAUUCAACGAGCUCCUAACCUAGGCCGAAGGGUCCGGGUAAUCUUUGAAAUUUCAUCGUGAUGGGGAUAGAUUAUUGCAAUUAUUAAUCUUCAACGAGGAAUUCCUAGUAAGCGCGAGUCAUCAGCUCGCGUUGAUUACGUCCCUGCCCUUUGUACACACCGCCCGUCGCUCCUACCGAUUGAAUGGUCCGGUGAAAUGUUCGGACCGCGACAAGGCGGACGGUUCGCUGUCAGCUUUGCUGCGGGAAGUUCAUUAAACCUUAUCAUUUAGAGGAAGGAGAAGUCGUAACA
rnacentral:rRNA from 1 species